CUUGUGACUGAGCGGCGGACGGGUGAGUAACGCGUGGGUAACCUGCCUCAUACAGGGGGAUAACAGUUAGAAAUGACUGCUAAUACCGCAUAAGACCACAGUACCGCAUGGUACAGUGGUAAAAACUCCGGUGGUAUGAGAUGGACCCGCGUCUGAUUAGGUAGUUGGUGGGGUAACGGCCCGCCAAGCCGACGAUCAGUAGCCGACCUGAGAGGGUGACCGGCCACGUUGGGACUGAGACACGGCCCAAACUCCUACGGGAGGCAGCAGUUGGGAAUAUUGCACAAUGGGCGAAAGCCUGACCGAGCAACGCCGCGUGAGGGAGGAAGUCAUUCGUGAUGUAAACCUCUGUUAUAAAGGAAGAAACGCCUGGAUAGGAAAUGAUACAGGCUUGACGGUACUUUAUGAGGAAGCCACGGCUAACUACGUGCCAGCAGCCGCGGUAAUACGUAGGUGGCGAGCGUUAUCCGGAAUCAUUGGGCGUAAAGAGGGAGCAGGCGGCAGCUAGGGUCUGCGGUGAAAGACCGAAGCUAAACUUCGGUAAGCCGUGGAAACCGAGCAGCUAGAGAGCAGCAGAGGAUCGUGGAAUUCCAUGUGUAGCGGUGAAAUGCGUAGAUAUAUGGAGGAACACCAGUGGCGAAGGCGACGAUCUGGGCUGCAACUGACGCUCAGUCCCGAAAGCGUGGGGAGCAAAUAGGAUUAGAUACCCUAGUAGUCCACGCCGUAAACGAUGAGUACUAAGUGUUGGGGGUCAAACCUCAGUGCUGCAGUUAACGCAAUAAGUACUCCGCCUGAGUAGUACGUUCGCAAGAAUGAAACUCAAAGGAAUUGACGGGGGCCCGCACAAGCGGUGGAGCAUGUGGUUUAAUUCGAAGCAACGCGAAGAACCUUACCAGGUCUUGACAUACCAAUAAAGGCCUCAGAGAUGAGGAGAUAGAUAUAAUGGAUACAGGUGGUGCAUGGUUAUCGUCAGCUCGUGUCGUGAGAUGUUGGGUUAAGUCCCGCAACGAGCGCAACCCUUGUCGCUAGUUACCAUCAUUAAGUUGGGGACUCUAGCGAGACUGCCUCUGCAAGGAGGAGGAGGGCGGGGAUGACGUCAAAUCAUCAUGCCCCUUAUGACCUGGGCUACACACGUGCUACAAUGGACGGAUCAGAGGGAAGCGAAGCUGCGAAGUGGAGCGAAACCCAAAAACCCGUUCUCAGUUCGGACUGCAGUCUGCAACUCGACUGCACGAAGUUGGAAUCGCUAGUAAUCGCGAAUCAGAAUGUCGCGGUGAA
rnacentral:rRNA from 1 species